rnacentral:rRNA from 1 species
AGAGUUUGAUCCUGGCUCAGAACGAACGCUGGCGGCAGGCUUAACACAUGCAAGUCGAACGAUGGUUCUUUCUUCGGAGGGAUCCAUAGUGGCGCACGGGUGAGUAACGCGUGGGAACCUGUCCUGUGGUUUGGGAUACCUCCGGGAAACUGGAGUUAAUACCGAAUGUCUCCUGAGGGAGAAAGAUUUAUCGCCAUAGGGUGGGCCCGCGUCCGAUUAGCUAGUUGGUGGGGUAAAGGCCUACCAAGGCAUCGAUCGGUAGCUGGUCUGAGAGGAUGAUCAGCCACACUGGGACUGAGACACGGCCCAGACUCCUACGGGAGGCAGCAGUGGGGAAUAUUGGACAAUGGGCGCAAGCCUGAUCCAGCCAUGCCGCGUGAGUGAUGAACGCCUUCGGGUUGUAAAGCUCUUUCGACGGGGACGAUGAUGACGGUACCCGUAGAAGAAGCCCCGGCUAACUUCGUGCCAGCAGCCGCGGUAAUACGAAGGGGGCGAGCGUUGUUCGGAGUUACUGGGCGUAAAGGGCGCGUAGGCGGCGUACCAAGUCUGGCGUGAAAGCACUGGGCUUAACCCAGGAACUGCGUCUGAGACUGGUAUGCUGGGAGUGCAGGAGAUGUCGGCGGAAUACCCAGUGUAGACGUGAAUUGCGUACCUGAUUGGGAAAGAACACCCUGGUGGCGUUAAGGCCGGUCGGACUUGG